AUUGAACGCUGGCGGCAGGCCUAACACAUGCAAGUCGAGCGGUAGAGAGGUGCUUGCAUCUCUUGAGAGCGGCGGACGGGUGAGUAAUGCCUAGGAAUCUGCCUAGUGGUGGGGGAUAACGUUCGGAAACGGACGCUAAUACCGCAUACGUCCUACGGGAGAAAGCGGGGGAUCUUCGGACCUCGCGCCAUUAGAUGAGCCUAGGUCGGAUUAGCUAGUUGGUGAGGUAAAGGCUCACCAAGGCGACGAUCCAUAGCUGGUCUGAGAGGAUGAUCAGCCACACUGGGACUGAGACACGGCCCAGACUCCUACGGGAGGCAGCAGUGGGGAAUAUUGGACAAUGGGCGAAAGCCUGAUCCAGCAAUGCCGCGUGAGUGAUGAAGGCCUUAGGGUUGUAAACUGCUUUUGUACGGAACGAAACGGUGAGCUCUAAUACAGUUUGCUAAUGACGGUACCGUAAGAAUAAGCA
rnacentral:rRNA from 1 species